UUUGGUCGUGGAGUAUAGUAAUUUGGUCAUUUUUACAGUUUCCAUUGUUGCCUAGAAAUGGUAAUUGCAUGUAGGUUGAGGACCAUUAGGAGAAGCUCCAGCAAGGCAAAGAGGCCCUCUAGGUUGAGCUCAACUUUUACAUUUAAUCAAGUAUUAAAUUUUUAAUAUAUUGUGUAUACAACUUUCAUUGUA